GAGGUGGCGCUUGUUGACGGCGAUAUCGACCGGCUCGCAAACCGUGCCGCCCGAUGAGUGCAUCGACGGCGCCAUAUAGGCGAGCUUCACGAA
rnacentral:sRNA from 1 species